GACGAACGCUGGCGGCGUGCUUAACACAUGCAAGUCGAACGGAAAGGCCCUGCUUUUGUGGGGUGCUCGAGUGGCGAACGGGUGAGUAAAACGUGAGUAACCUGCCCUUGACUUUGGGAUAACUUCAGGAAACUGGGGCUAAUACCGGAUAGGAGCUCCUGCUGCAUGGUGGGGGUUAGAAAGUUUCGGCGGUUGGGGAUGGACUCGCGGCUUAUCAGCUUGUUGGUGGGGUAGUGGCUUACCAAGGCUUUGACGGGUAGCCGGCCUGAGAGGGUGACCGGCCACAUUGGGACUGAGAUACGGCCCAGACUCCUACGGGAGGCAGCAGUGGGGAAUAUUGCACAAAGGGCGGAAGCCUGAUGCAGCAACGCCGCGUGCGGGAUGACGGCCUGCGGGUUGUAAACCGCUUUCGCCUGUGACGAAGCGUGAGUGACGGUAAUGGGUAAAGAAGCACCGGCUAACUACGUG
rnacentral:rRNA from 1 species